GACGAACGCUGGCGGCGUGCCUAAUACAUGCAAGUCGAGCGAACCUCUUCGGAGGUUAGCGGCGGACGGGUGAGUAACACGUGGGCAACCUGCCUGUAAGACUGGGAUAACACCGGGAAACCGGUGCUAAUACCGGAUAAUCCUUUCCUACUCAUGUAGGAAAGCUGAAAGACGGUUUCGGCUGUCACUUACAGAUGGGCCCGCGGCGCAUUAGCUAGUUGGUGAGGUAACGGCUCACCAAGGGCACGAUGCGUAGCCGACCUGAGAGGGUGAUCGGCCACACUGGGACUGAGACACGGCCCAGACUCCUACGGGAGGCAGCAGUUGGGAAUCUUCCGCAAUGGACGAAAGUCUGACGGAGCAACGCCGCGUGAGCGAUGAAGGCCUUCGGGUCGUAAAGCUCUGUUGUUAGGGAAGAACAAGUACCGGAGUAACUGCCGGUACCUUGACGGUAUCUAACCAGAAAGCCACGGCUAACUACGUGCCAGCAGCCGCCGUAAGAC
rnacentral:rRNA from 1 species